CUUCACCGUUUAGCAUAUAGAUUGUGGAACCACAAUAUGUUUACUUAGCAGCAACCAUGUCUGAACAAAUGUAUUAUUUUUAUCAUAUCUAUUAUUAUUAUCAUCAUUAUUAUUUGUUUCUCUAUUGCUUUCUCAUAAUUCAAUGCUUCAGUUUCAGCAUAUCCUAUAAUGUCAAAUGUUAAAAUGUCUCUUCAUCCACAUUAACUUUCUCUUCUUUAACAAUCCUACAGCACAUUCAUGUAAUUUUUAUAUGUACUUUGUAAUUGUGGGUGUUAUAUCCGUAUCCAUGGCCAUGAUAUGUUAUUAGUAUUAUAUCAAGCAACCUUGGGGGCUAUGAAGGUUCUGCUUGUUGUAGGUGUAAAUGUGGAAAAGGAUGAAUUUUGUGUUGUACAUUUGACGUAAUUACAAAUUUAAAUUCAUGUUUUCAGCUAGAAAAAGGUGUAGAUGGGCUAUUUGAUAGUUUUGCUAGAUUGGAUUCACGUGUCUCUAGUGUGGGAUUGACGUUGCAGAAAAACUGAAUUCUUCUACUUGUGGCAAGCAGAGGAUCUAGAUUCAUGUUAACCCUUCUGUCUUUUGCUGUUCUAUUUUUGAGACAAAGAUUACCAGAUUUUGUUCUGAGACACUGUUUUUGUCAUCUAAAAAACAUAAUUUCUUAUCAUUGAUUUAUUAACUCUUAUUUAGUAAUUUUCAGGUAAUAAGUUUUAGAAAUUCCAAUCUUAGUUCUAUAAAAUGGUUGUACAUCUCGUUUGAAUGAUCAAUAAAGUUACAAGUGGCAUGCUUCCACUUUUCUGGGAAAAAAAGUACUGUAUUUUUUGUGUGCAUGGUGUUUUUUUUUUUUUUUUUUGACUCCUGCUGGUAACAUUGUAUUUACUAUUUGCAUAGGAAAAGGGCUCAGAUGAAAUUGUCUUCAAGGUGAUGGAAAGAGCUAUAAAUAAAAUUGUUAUGAUCGUGGAGCUGAUUAAGUUGGUGCCAGGUGUCACAGAGUUCGUGAUAGCAAAACUGCUUUACUUGCAAUGGAUGGGAUCCAAACCAGCCAAUUUAUCUUUACAUCAAUUCAACUGGAACAACUCAUGAUGAGGGUGAAACGUAUUGGAAAUUCAUAAUGAUAUGUCCUGCUUGGAGCAAAUCAAUAUCACAAGUACAAGCUAAAAAAGCAACCUAGUUGAAUCCUUGGAGGAGCUUGCACCUGCUUGCACAUUAGAUGUGAAUUUUCCUCCAUGGUAAUAUUACCCUGAAACAAUAACUUGUUUCAUCAUUACAAAUGAAUUUUAUUUUGCCUUGGUUAUAGAUUGAAGAAUCCUUGGAGGAGCUUGCACCUACUUGCACAUUAGAUGUGAUUCGGUCCUUCUAAAUGCACAUUAGGUGGAAUUUAAAGCUUUAAAUUGGUGAAAUGCUCUGAAAUUGUACAAAUCAUCUCAGAUAGAUUAAAAAAUUCAGAUAAUUGUACAGAUCAUCUCGGAUGCGAGUUUCAGGAAUUUCCUGCUUUAUUAAAAAAGAAAAGAAAAAGAAAAAAGGAAAAAAAAAAAAUUUACUCGAAGUUCCUGUAACCUAAAAGCUCUACAGGACCUGCUGCUAAAUCCUUGAGAAAUGCACUCCCUUCAUCAGUUUCUCUAGCUCAUUUCAGAUUUAGAACAAAACAUGAGCAUUCAUUUACCUAUGAGGGAUGCUAUCUUUCCUUCUCAUAAUUGAGGAAAUAUCUAUGGUAUCACUAAAAGACGACU